GAUGAACGCUGGCGGCGUGCCUAACACAUGCAAGUCGAACGAAGCGCUUAGAAGUUUUCGGACAGAAGAGUGACUGAGUGGCGGACGGGUGAGUAACGCGUGGGUAACCUGCCUCAUACAGGGGGAUAACAGUUAGAAAUGACUGCUAAUACCGCAUAAGCGCACAGCAUCGCAUGAUGCAGUGUGAAAAGCCGAGACGGUUUGGGACUGGCCUGCGUACGAUUAGAUAGUUGGUAGGGUAACGGCCUACCAAGUCGACGAUCGUUAGAUGGUUUGAGAAGAUGAUCAUCCAGACUGGGACUGAGACACGGCCCAGACUCCUACGGGAGGCAGCAGUAGGGAAUCUUUCACAAUGGGCGAAAGCCUGAUGGAGCAACGCCGCGUGCAGGAUGACGGCCUUCGGUGUAAACUGCUUUAUAACCGUAGAAAUAUGAUGGUAGGUUUGUAAUAAGGACCGGCUAACUAACGUGCCAGCAG
rnacentral:rRNA from 1 species